rnacentral:rRNA from 1 species
UGGGGAAUAUUGCACAAUGGGCGCAAGCCUGAUGCAGCCAUGCCGCGUGUAUGAAGAAGGCCUUCGGGUUGUAAAGUACUUUCAGCGGGGAGGAAGGGAGUAAAGUUAAUACCUUUGCUCAUUGACGUUACCCGCAGAAGAAGCACCGGCUAACUCCGUGCCAGCAGCCGCGGUAAUACGGAGGGUGCAAGCGUUAAUCGGAAUUACUGGGCGUAAAGCGCACGCAGGCGGUUUGUUAAGUCAGAUGUGAAAUCCCCGGGCUCAACCUGGGAACUGCAUCUGAUACUGGCAAGCUUGAGUCUCGUAGAGGGGGGUAGAAUUCCAUGUGUAGCGGUGAAAUGCGUAGGGAUGUGGAGGAAUACCGGUGGCGAAGGCGGCCCCCUGGACAAAGACUGACGCUCAGGUGCGAAAGCGUGGGGAGCAAAAAGG